AUUGAACGCUGGCGGCAGGCCUAACACAUGCAAGUAGAGCGAGUGGCGGACGGGUGAGUACUGUAUGGGGAUCUGCCCGAUGGAGGGGGAUAACUACUGGAAACGGUAGCUAAUACCGCAUACUAUCGGAUGUGCCCAGAUGGGAUUAGCUAGUAGGGUGGGUAAAGGCUCACCUAGGCGACGAUCUCUAGCUGGUCUGAGAGGAUGACGAGUCACACUUGGAUGGAGACACGGUCCAGACUCCUACGGGAGGCAGCAGUAGGGAAUAUUGGGCGAUGGGCGCUAGCGGGAUGCAGCCAUGCCGCGUGUAGAAAGAAGGCCGUAGGGUUGUAAAGUAAUUUCAGUGGGGAGGCGUUACCCGCAGAAGAAGCAUCGGCUAACUCCGUGCCAGGUGCCGCGGUAAUAC
rnacentral:rRNA from 1 species